rnacentral:lncRNA from 1 species
CCCCGGGGGCGUCGUCACCGCCGGGCUCGCCAUCUACGACACCAUGCAGUACAUCCGCUGCCCCGUCAACACCAUCUGCAUCGGCCAGGCCGCCUCCAUGGGCUCCCUCCUCCUCGCCGCCGGCGCGCGCGGGGAGAGGCGGGCGCUGCCCAACGCCAGGGUCAUGAUCCACCAGCCCUCCGGCGGGGCCCAGGGCCAGGCCACCGACAUCGCCAUCCAGGCCAAGGAGAUCCUCAAGCUGCGCGACCGCCUCAACAAGAUCUACGCCAAGCACACGGGCCAGAACAUCGACAAGAUCGAGCAGUGCAUGGAGCGUGACCUUUUCAUGGACCCCGAGGAGGCGCGCGAAUGGGGGCUUAUAGACGAGGUCAUCGAGAACCGCCCGGCCUCCCUCAUGCCUGAGGGCCUCAGUGCCGUUGACCCGCCUCACCACGGUGGGGGCGCCGGCGCCAACGGCCGUGGCAGGGACAGGGAUAUGGAGGAGCCCUCCGCUGUAUGAGGGGUGGCCACGAAGGUGAAACCUUUUCCUGAGUCCGGUGGCUAUGUUGUUUGUUGUUAGAUCUAAGUUUUGAUGAUUCCUAAUACAACAGGUC